CCUACGGGAGGCAGCAGUGAGGAAUAUUGGUCAAUGGACGCGAGCCUGAACCAGCCAAGUAGCGUGAAGGAUGACUGCCCUACGGGUUGUAAACUUCUUUUAUAAAGGAAUAAAGUGAUGCACGUGUGCCUUUUUGUAUGUACUUUAUGAAUAAGGAUCGGCUAACUCCGUGCCAGCAGCCGCGGUAAUACGGAGGAUCCGAGCGUUAUCCGGAUUUAUUGGGUUUAAAGGGAGCGUAGAUGGGUUGUUAAGUCAGUUGUGAAAGUUUGCGGCUCAACCGUAAAAUUGCAAUUGAUACUGGUAGUCUUGAGUACAGUUGAGGUAGGUGGAAUUCGUGGUGUAGCGGUGAAAUGCUUAGAUAUCACGAAGAACUCCGAUGGCGAAGGCAGUUUACUAAACUGUAACUGACACUGAUGCACGAAAGUGUGGGGAGCAAACAGGAUUAGAUACCCGUGUAGUC
rnacentral:rRNA from 1 species